rnacentral:siRNA from 1 species
CUCACUAGUGUGAUGAUGUGUCA